rnacentral:rRNA from 1 species
UGGGGAAUUUUGGACAAUGGGGGAAACCCUGAUCAAGCCAUCCCGCGUGUGCGAUGAAGGCCUUCGGGUUGUAAAGCACUUUUGGCAGGAAAGAAACGUCAUGGGUUAAUACCCCGUGAAACUGACGGUACCUGCAGAAUAAGCACCGGCUAACUACGUGCCAGCAGCCGCGGUAAUACGUAGGGUGCAAGCGUUAAUCGGAAUUACUGGGCGUAAAGCGUGCGCAGGCGGUUCGGAAAGAAAGAUGUGAAAUCCCAGAGCUCAACUUUGGAACUUCAUUUUUAACUACCGGGCUAGAGUGUGUCAGAGGGAGGUGGAAUUCCGCGUGUGGCAGUGAAAUGCGUAGAUAUGCGGAGGAACACCGAUGGCGAAGGCAGCCUCCUGGGAUAACACUGACGCUCAUGCACGAAAGCGUGGGGAGCAAACAGG